UACGUAGGGGGCAAGCGUUGUCCGGAAUCAUUGGGCGUAAAGCGCGUGUAGGCGGCUCGACAAGUCCGCUGUGAAAGCCCGGGGCUCAACCCCGGGAGGCGGGUGGAUACUGUCAAGCUCGAGUCCGGAAGAGGCGAGUGGAAUUCCUGGUGUAGCGGUGAAAUGCGCAGAUAUCAGGAGGAACACCAAUGGCGAAGGCAGCUCGCUGGGACGUGACUGACGCUGAGACGCGAAAGCGUGGGGAGCAAACAGG
rnacentral:rRNA from 1 species